CCAGGUGUGUGUAAAUGCCCCCAGGUGUGUGUAAAUGGCCCCAGGUGUGUGUAAAUGCCCCCAGGUGUGUCCCAGGUGUGUGUCAAUGCUCACCUUUCCGUCGAUGAUGGCAGACAGGCUGAGGUAGUCGAAGAUCUCGGUGCAGUA